UGGCUUCCGGAGCUAACGCGUUAAGUAGACCGCCUGGGGAGUACGGCCGCAAGGUUAAAACUCAAAUGAAUUGACGGGGGCCCGCACAAGCGGUGGAGCAUGUGGUUUAAUUCGAUGCAACGCGAAGAACCUUACCUGGUCUUGACAUCCACAGAAGAAUCCAGAGAUGGAUUUGUGCCUUCGGGAACUGUGAGACAGGUGCUGCAUGGCUGUCGUCAGCUCGUGUUGUGAAAUGUUGGGUUAAGUCCCGCAACGAGCGCAACCCUUAUCCUUUGUUGCCAGCGGUCCGGCCGGGAACUCAAAGGAGACUGCCAGUGAUAAACUGGAGGAAGGUGGGGAUGACGUCAAGUCAUCAUGGCCCUUACGACCAGGGCUACACACGUGCUACAAUGGCGCAUACAAAGAGAAGCGACCUCGCGAGAGCAAGCGGACCUCAUAAAGUGCGUCGUAGUCCGGAUUGGAGUCUGCAACUCGACUCCAUGAAGUCGGAAUCGCUAGUAAUCGUGGAUCAGAAUGCCACGGUGAAUACGUUCCCGGGCCUUGUACACACCGCCCGUCACACCAUGGGAGUGGGUUGCAAAAGAAGUAGGUAGCUUAACCUUCGGGAGGGCGCUUACCACUUUGUGAUUCAUGACUGGGGUGAAGUCGUAACAAGGUAACCGUAGGGGAACCUGC
rnacentral:rRNA from 1 species